rnacentral:misc_RNA from 1 species
AGAAGAACUGUUAGUCCAAAUUACAGCCGACACUUUGUCGGAUUAUCGUUAAAAUUUUUUUAAAUUUCCAAUUUAGUUAGAUUUUGAUAAAAGUAAAAAUAGCCUAAACCUUAAAUAAAGUUUUUGAACAAGUAAAUUAAGAACUGUAAUGAAAUCAGAUAAGAUCAGGUGCUCCGGCACUCCGUGUGACAUACCUUGCUCGGCUACACUUUAGACGAGUGAGGGGUGUUACAACCACUUUCCCUUUUUGCAUUAGAACACACCCAAGCCCAUUGUGGGAAGCAUCACUAUAAAUCACAAAGUCUUUUCUAGAUACUGGCUGUGUCAACACUGGUGCCUCUAUCAACAUAGCCUUCAACUUCUUAAAACUGGCUUGACACUUGUCAUUCCAGUUAAAUUUUAUAUUCUUAUGCAACAACUUGGUCAAUGGUGUAGUUAUCAGAGAAAAUCCCUUCAUAAACCUUCUGUAACACCCAACUAGCCCCAAGAAACUUCUGACUUCAGUUGCAUUCCUGGGAGGCUUCCAUUCUAUUACAGCUUCAAUCUUCUUGGAAUCUACUCUAAUCCCAUCAACUGAUACUAUAUGUCCAAGGAAAGCAAUCUCAUUCAACUAAAAGUCACACUUGGACAGUUUAGCAUAUAGUUUCUUCUCUCUCAGGGUCUGCAGUAUAAUCCUCAAAUGCUUAUCAUGUUCUUCUCUGUUCUUGGAAUACACCAGAAUGUCAUCAAUAAAGACUACUAUAAACCGAUCUAAUAUGGAUGAAAGAUACGGUUACUGAGAUCUGGGCCUCUGUGACUAGCCCUGACUUUGUGUCUGACUAUGGCCCUAAGCCGGAGGACCUCUAAACUUCUUACUGGGUGCAGAUGAAGACCUAGCUUGACCCGGAACCCUCUUUUGCUGCCUGUCUCUUUUGCUCUGUUCACUUAUUUUGACCCUCUCAACUUUAAGUGCAGCUUCAACCAACUGUACAAGGUCUGUGAUCCGCAGGGCUGUGAUAAGCAGCUUAAUAUUAUCGUUUAGCCCCUAUUCAAACCUCCUACAUCGAUCUGCUUCUGUAGGGACUAUCUCUCUUCUAUAUCUGCUCAAUCUGACAAAUUUUCGUUCAUACUCUGCUACAGACAAUGUCUCUACCUCAAACUGAUAAAUUCUCUUCUUCACUCCUCCAAAUACACAUUACUGAUGUAUUUCUUCUUGAACUCUGUAAGGAAGAAAUUCCAGGUUAUCUAAAUUGAUUGCACCUCCCUUGAUACUGUGUCCCACCAUUGAUAGGCAUCCUCCUGUAGUAAGGACACAACACCCUUCAAAUUUUGCUCUGGGGUGCAGUGGAGCUGCUGAAGGACCCUUUCUGUCCUUUCUAGCCAAUGUUCAGCUGUUGCAGGGUCAUCUUCCUUUUUACCCAUAAAAUCCACAGCCCCAUAUUUUCUAAGUUUCUCCAAAUGGGACUUUUGUGGUGGCUGCUGAGGUUGUAGAAUAGCUCUAGUCAUUUGUCUAAAGAAUUCUGUUAUUUGUUGAAAUAAGGCCUGCUGAAGCUGUGCAGGUACCUCUUACACUGGUGGAGCAGGUUCUUCCCUGCCUCCAGCUUCAGCCAUGGGUGGAGCAUGACUCUCCACCUCU